rnacentral:lncRNA from 1 species
GAGUGAUAGGAUUGUAAUAAUCUAAUAUCAUAGGGACUGGCCGCCAUUGUGGUAUAAAAGGUCAUUAGCACGGAGAAGACAACCAAGGCAGGCUGAUCAUCAGGAAGGAGGCCAUCAGGCUACCAGCACGGUACUGGCCUGGUAGCACCACAUGAACAAGUUCUCUUCUUCCCUGCCGGUGAUGAUGGCGAUCAUCCUGGUCGUCACCGCCGUCGUGUCUUCCUCCGUCGUCCACGGCUCGGAGGCCCGAGCCCAAGCAGGUACGCACGCGUCCAGUUGAUUAAUCGAUCGAGCAGCUCGGAACCUGCUUCCUGCUCUUCUGUUGAUAUCUCGCUCUAGGCCGGCACUGAGAUUAAACUGCUCAUGACGACGACGACGAAACGUGUGCGUGCAGAUAUAGAUGGUGCUGUUCUACCUCACCCGGAUGGAGGCCACAAGGGCCCGGCGCCGCCGGCGCCGCAGGGCAAGCCACCACACCGGCCGCAGCCGCCGUGCUGCGUCCGGCCAGGCGCGUAACAUCUCAAACACCAAGACACGGAGCCAGCGCCGGCCAACGAUUAGGCGGAGUACGAGUCUACCGAAACUUUUUAGCCGCGUGGAUUGUCUUGAGAUCGGGAGAUAUUGUACUAACUUGAUAUAAUUGCUUUGAUUUCAGUAAAACUUCCUUCUCCUGUUAAGAAACGAUUCUUAUUCAGAAUCAUCUUAAUUGUCACAUCCUUUGGUCAAUUAAUUGUACAGCUUUGAAUUUGUGUGGAGCACAAUGAGC